UGUGUGUUGGGGCGGUAUGGGGCGGUAAUGGGGUGGUGGCAAGCGUUGUGCGGGGUUAUUGGGCGUAAAGGGAGAGGAGGUGGUUUCUUAAGUCUGAUGUGAAAGCCCAAGGCUUAAGCGUGGAGGGGCAUUGGAAACUGGGAAACUUGAGUAGAGAAUAGGAAUGGGGAACGCCAUGUGUAGCGGUGGAAUGCGUAGAUAUAUGGAAGAACACCAGUGGCGAAGGCGACAUUCUGGUCUGUUACUGACACUGAGGCUCGAAAGCGUGGGGAGCAAACAGGAUUAGAUACCCCAGUAGUC
rnacentral:rRNA from 1 species